UCCGGAGGGUGCAAUCGUUGUUCGGAAUCACUGGGCGUAAAGCGCGUGUAGGCGGCCUCCUCAGUCGGAUGUGAAAGCCCGGGGCUCACCCCCGGAAGUGCAUUGGAUACUGGGAGGCUGGAGUACCGGAGAGGAGGGUGGAAUUCCUGGUGUAGCGGUGAAAUGCGUAGAUAUCAGGAGGAACACCGGUGGCGAAGGCGGCCCUCUGGACGGAUACUGACGCUGAGACGCGACAGCGUGGGGAGCAAACAGG
rnacentral:rRNA from 1 species